UCCUGCUGACGCCCCCGACGCCGCCGCCUCCUUCGCUGGUCUCCGGAGGUGUCCGCCUUCCCGACAGGUCCUGCAGGGAGAGCCCCGAGAGGCGACCGGACCCCGAGGCCCCGCGCUCAGGACAGAUACUGCCCUGGGGAUUCCCUGUUCUCCUGCUCCAACUGCCUGAGGUUCAGCUGCUCAUUUGGCUGGAGGCCUAGCUGACUGGCAGGCCCCCGGGACUCAUCCCCACCUGCAGCCCCAUGAACCCAGCCCUUGCUUCUUCCACUUCCUGCACGCAGCACUGCAUCUUGGCUCUCCUGCCUUGGGGUAGGACGACUUAAGCUGCUCCCCCAAGCCCUCAUUGAUACCACCUGCUAUGGCCUUCACACUCCUACAGCUUUGGAUUGGAAGAGCCUCAAUCCUGCUGCCUUCUUGAAUUCCAGUAGAGCAUCACUUAUUCAUUCUUUUAUUUAUUCAUUCAAUAAAUAGAUAUCCUGAAUA